CCUACGGGAGGCAGCAGUGGGGAAUAUUGCGCAAUGGGCGAAAGCCUGACGCAGCGACGCCGCGUGAGGGAUGAAGGUCUUCGGAUCGUAAACCUCUGUCAGCAGGGAAGAACGGUCACUGUGCUAAUCAGCAGUGAAUUGACGGUACCUGCAAAGGAAGCACCGGCUAACUCCGUGCCAGCAGCCGCGGUAAUACGGAGGGUGCGAGCGUUAAUCGGAAUUACUGGGCGUAAAGCGCUCGUAGGCGGUAUGUCAAGGCAAGGGUGAAAUCCCCGCGCUCAACGUGGGAACUGCCGUUGAAACUGGCAGACUGGAGUGUGUGAGAGGAUAGUGGAAUUCGAGGUGUAGGGGUGAAAUCCGUAGAUAUCUGGAAGAACAUCAGUGGCGAAGGCGACUAUCUGGCACAUAACUGACGCUGAGGAGCGAAAGCGUGGGUAGCGAACAGGAUUAGAUACCCCUGUAGUC
rnacentral:rRNA from 1 species